rnacentral:rRNA from 1 species
AUGCAGGGGCCGGAGCGCGUGCGCGGCGGGUGGCGUCAAGCUGGCGAGCUUGGUGGACACGGCCGUCGAGGUGACUUCAGAAGGAUACCUUGCGCGUACAAGAGCAAAAACCUCGCGGUGAGGGUGGAGCAGGGACAAGGGCCACCUCGCCCUCCGGUUCCUCUACCAGUCGAGGUGGCGAACGCGGCGGCACCUGAUGCCGCACAGAGCGUCGCCGCGCCGUCGCAGACGAAAUGGCAGUACAUGACGGGGCGCGAGGGGUCACCCGGGGUGUGGCGCACGUCGCACGCGCCGGCCGGCCCGCUGCGGCUCCGGCUCGUAGUCACCGCGGGGUCCGGCGGCAAGUGGCUGCUCUCUGACGGGGCGGUGCUCCCGGCGGAGUGGCAUGCUGGCGCGGUCUACGGCACUGGCAUGCGGGUCACUGAGGUCGCUGCAAACACCUGCGGCAGCGCCUCCUGCGGUGCCGGGGACGACAACCACGACGAUGAUUAG